GCAACUGAGUGGUCCUCGGAGGGGGAGGCAGAGGAGUGGAGAGUGGCUGACAUUUGAGGCCAGAGAACUCAGGUUCGCGUUUUGGCGAUGCGAUGUCAGAGCUGUGAGGUCUUUGGCCGGUCGCUUAACCUCUCUGAACCCCUGCUUUCCCUUCUGUGACAUGGAGAUGACACUGCUCAGGGACGAAGCGUUUGGGACAGAGCUGACAACCCGGGAAACCCAAAGGGUUAUGCAAAGGUGUGGAAAUAAUGUGAGAGGGCCAGGGGGACACUGUUGGGCCUGGGUGCGAGCGGAGGGAGGUGAAGCCUGGGUCCGGGUCCAUCAUGAGAGACCCCAGCCUUGCCCGGCUGGCCCCCCCGCCCAGAAUCCUUGGCCCUAGAGAUCACCACGGGCCCCAAGGACUCUCCAAGACAAACCACACGCCGGGGAUGGUUCUGCUUGUCCCCUUAUAAAACCGCAAUGUGCUGGCUUCCGGAAUCAGAUAUGUUCUGUGCCCUUGACGUGGACCGCUUCAUUUUACCCAGCGAACUAGGUUCUUUUGUUAUUGCGGGUGUCAGUUGGGGAACCCGGGCUCAGAGAGGCCAUGCGCUGGGCUUGCUUGUCGCGGCUCUCCGCAGGCAAGAGGGGGCUGGAGCCCCGGCUCUGAGAGCCAGAGUCCUGCCACCUGUCCCUUCCUUCUCCGGGAUCGUGAUCCGGAAGGAGCGAGUUUUCUCUGGCUGGUCGAUGAGAGGAAGACAGAUUCAAAGCAUGACAAGGAUUCAGUGCCAACAAGAUUGUCCACUGAUGACUUUGGCUGGAAGGGCCACCAGGCAAGGGGUGCAGGUGACCUCUAGUUGCUGAGAGCAGCCCCUGGUUGACAGCCAGCAAAGAAUGGACACCUUGAUUCUACACUGAAGGAAUUGGAUUCUGGCCCAACCAGUGAACUUGGAAGAGAAGCCUGAGCCCCAGGGAGAGAGCCCAGCCCCCACCCACCCUGACUUCAGCGCCAUGAAGCCCUGAGCCGAGAACCCAGCCAUGUGGAGCCUGGAAUUCUGACCUACAGAAGCUAAGAUCAUAAAUUUGCUGUUUUAUUUUA